GAGCUCACGGCGUGCAUUGUUCUAUCGAAACUUAGAAAUCCGAAGCAGAUUUCCGUGUAAAACUAAGAGGUCGGAGCAGGUUGUUAUUUGUGCCCCGCUUCGUUCCAGCUCAAACAGGACUUUGACACAAAGCGCACGGCACUACAGACGGGGGCGGGGUCUCCAUGGCGCACACGGUACCUGACGCACAGUGGUGGUCGAGAUUCGAGACCUUGCAGCCAUACUUUGCUCACAACGUCUCACACAUGCACAAGGCCCUACAUGAACUUGAGGGCAGGAGAAUCAUACCACCAACCUUCCAGUUCAAGGUAAAUAUGGGGAGCCCUUGAAACAAAGAGAUGAGUCAAACAUCAGACUAUGGGUGUGUUCACAAAUCCUCGACACCACCAUCUCUCAACACCACCAUCUCUCCAAGGAUCACUAUGGUUUGAGAGAAGACUUACCGUUCCCAGCAG